AAAUAAUCUAAGAAGAAGUAGGAAUGUCAUUUGGGAAGAGAUUAUGAGACUUUUCAUUCUCCAACACAGGACUAUAUCAAAGACUGUGCUACCAAGCUUCAUUCUCCGGGGCAUCCACUGGAUGUUUUUCUCAAAUACUGCGAUGAAUUAAUAUGCAAAGUGAUCAUUAUGGAUUAAAUGAAGUACAGCGGAAAUAUAUGGGUUAUUUGUGGGCUAAUUUGAAGGAAACCUAACAUCCCAGUGCUAAGGCUCCCCCCCC